GACGAACGCUGGCGGCGUGCUUAACACAUGCAAGUCGAACGCUGAAGCUCAGCUUUUGUUGGGUGGAUGAGUGGCGAACGGGUGAGUAACACGUGAGUAACCUGCCUCCUUCUUUGGGAUAACGCCCGGAAACGGGUGCUAAUACUGGAUAUUCACUGGUCUUCGCAUGGGGGUUGGUGGAAAGGGUUUUUCUGGUGGGGGAUGGGCUCGCGGCCUAUCAGCUUGUUGGUGGGGUGAUGGCCUACCAAGGCUUUGACGGGUAGCCGGCCUGAGAGGGUGACCGGUCACAUUGGGACUGAGAUACGGCCCAGACUCCUACGGGAGGCAGCAGUGGGGAAUAUUGCACAAUGGGCGAAAGCGUGAUGCAGCGACGCCGCGGGAGGGAUGGAGGCCUUCGGGUUGUGAACCUCUUUCGCUCAUGGUCAAGCCGCAACAAUGGUUGUGGUGAGGGUAGUGGGUAAAGAAGCGCCGGCUAACUACGUG
rnacentral:rRNA from 1 species